UUAUUAAGUCAAUUAACAUAACUACAUGAUGAAACUUAUUACCACCAAGAUCUCUGAGUGCCGUGAUUAUAUUUAGUAUUUGCUAACUGACCAAAAUUGAACAUAAAAAUAAUUAAUCGAAUUAAUUGUCACUUCUCAUUAAUAAACUAAAUUUUAUUUUUACAGCUUCAAUGGAUCAAAAAAUCCUGUCAAACUAUCGCUACUAAUUAUUGAUACAAUAAACAAGAAACUCGGAAAAACAAUCAUAUCCUCCUCAGUCUCGAAGCAUCAUUUUGUUUGCUAUUUGAAUAAUUUUUUCUAAGUCUACUCAUAGACUUUUUACAAAGCAAAAAAACAAAUUUUAUGUUUUUUCUAAUUUAUAGUUUUUAAAGCCAUCUAUUUUAAAGCUGUAGCAAUAAUUAAUUUUAUGGUUCAACUAACAGCUGCUAGUUGCCGAGCUUGGCAAAAUUGUCCCCUGUAUGGGCCGUCAGGAUCGAAGAGGAUAUACAUUAUAUAUUGCUUCAAUGAAUCAGGAAAUCCUGUGAAGCUGUUGCUACUUAUUAUUGAUGAACUGAACAGAACACUUCCGGAAAAACAAUUAUAUACCUUAGGUAUCGAGUCAAUGGAUCAGGAAAUUCUGUAAAACUUUAUUAUGAUCAUCAUUUUAUUAUUGAUACAAUCAACUAGACACUAUCGGAAAACAAUUACAUACAUUUCUUUAUAGAUAAUAAUCACCAGGAAAUGUAACUCGAGAAUAAAAUUUUAUUAAGAUUUUAAUCGGUGUCACGGAAGGCAAUUCAUCACACAGAAAAAAAUAAUUUAUCGGCGCAAAAAAAAUUUUGCAUUAUCAAUUGAAAACAAAAAAUUUCGUAGGAUUAGAAAAAAAUUUCUUGGCACAAGAAAUUGGUUUUUACUCUAAGAAAAUUUUUAUUUUCAAUUCUUAAGGGUCAGUUCAUAAAAUACGUCACACGAAAUUUUAUUUUUUUGGACCCCUUCCCCCCUUUGUCGUGCUAUGUCACAUUUUCUGUGACCUCCUCUAUCGAUAUUGCAUCACAAAUGGUAGGUCUCUCCCUUCCGUAUAUGAUAUAUGUAUCAAUUAAUAUUCACAAAUUUCUAUAUUAAAAAAAAAUCUAUUAUUUGCAAUAAAGGAACUUCGAUAAAUUUUUUUGAUAUUGGGAAUACAAGCGAACUGACUGUGACGAACCGCAGCGUUAGCGUUGACAUUGAAUAACAAAUAUUAAAAAAACCAAACAGUAAAUAUAACAAAUUAUUCAGCCAUUAUCACGGAAAUAAAUACGUAGAAAUACAUAGAUAUUUACAAAUAUGAAAAGAACGAUUUUCUAUCGUAACAAAAAAACUAAAUUUAAAAAAAACCGAACGAAAAAUUUGCAAAAUUAUUUGAUGAGCUGCGAACGUCACGUUUCCUUAGACCCCCUAAUCCUUCUUGUCAAAGUAAGCGACUCCACUCCCCCAUAAGUGCGAACGUAUUUUAUGAACGGGCCCUAAUGAAAAAUUUCUUGGGGCAAGUAAAUUUUUUUGGAUCGAGUAAAAAUUUUUUAUGCCAAGAAAUCCUUUUUUUAUAUGCAACUCAUCUUAUUUGUCAUGGUUCAAAGGAUUAAUUGCGUUGAAAAAAAUUCCUAGGUUUAUUCCGUUGAAUUAUUAUUAUAAUUAAUUUUAUAAAUUCUUGAAAAUAUAAAAAAAUACGUCUGUUAUUAAAAUUUAUUUUUAUUCUAAAAUAUUUUACUUUCAAAUAAAAAAUAAAUCCUGAAUUAUAUUUUUGUCUUUAUAUUUUUUUAUCUUAUUAGAGCAAUCUUUUGAGUUUAUUUACAUAAAAAUUUUACAUAUCCCAAGUGUGGAAAAACCCAACGAUCUGGAAAUUUUGACGGCUUUUUAUUUUAUUUAACAUCGCUAGCAUUUUUUUCAUCAGAAUUUUUCUUAAUAAUUCAUUACUUCAAUUAAAUUCUUAUGCAACAAUAAUUUUUUUUUUUAAAUUAAUAAAUUCCUUUGUACGAAACUAAUUACGUUAAAAAUUAUUGAAUUAUUUUUAAACUAAAAAUAAAUGAAAAAAAAAAAACUAUUAAACCGUAACAAAGUAAAUGUAACUGAUAUAAUUAGUUUAUUUAUUUAAAAUAAUUUGUAAAAAAUUAAAACAAGUAAUUCACGGUCAUUUGAUGUUCGAGGUCGGUGUCAAGAAUCCUGACUGAUUUGACUACAGAAACUUGUAUCUGAAGGUCAUAUAAUUCACGGUUCAUUAUAUUUUAUUUUAUUUCCUUACAUCUUAAAUAACUUUUUUUUUAUUUUCUCCUUAACGACGUAAACCAGUUGUCCUUCCGGACAGUCUAAUUUGAAUUUUUUUACGAUAUCUAAAAGUUUGAUCCUUUUUUUAUUGGGAUAAUCAAUCCCGUCUAGUUAUAACACGUGUCUAAUUAAAAUUAAUAUUACAGACUAUAUCAAGUUUUGAUUACCAUUGAUCAUUUAUUUAUAUCACUGUCCAUGAUAACACCUUUUUUGCAAUUGUUUACAUAAAAACCUUCAUAAACAGGAUCUAAUAAUUCACACAAUGCGUUCAUGGACAAUAUUUUUU